UACAGAGGUCCCGAGCGUUGUUCGGAUUCAUUGGGCGUAAAGGGUGCGUAGGCGGCGGGGCAAGUCUGAUGUGAAAUCCCGGGGCUCAACCCCGGAACUGCAUUGGAUACUGCCUUGCUAGAGUACUGGAGAGGGAACUGGAAUUUACGGUGUAGCAGUGAAAUGCGUAGAGAUCGUAAGGAAGGCCAGUGGCGAAGGCGAGUUCCUGGACAGUGACUGACGCUGAGGCACGAAGGCCAGGGGAGCAAACGGG
rnacentral:rRNA from 1 species